rfam:Methanolobus tindarius DSM 2278 MettiDRAFT_Contig28.1_C, whole genome shotgun sequence.
UAGAUAGGGGUCGGCGACCCGAUGGGUAUGCCGAUCUCCCACAUAAUGACCUCAGGAAUGAGCGGAAUCAGAGCAGCCGGUGACCUUGUUGCCAGGAUGC